rnacentral:lncRNA from 1 species
UAAUUCAUCUACUAAAACCCUCAUUCAUCUAAUAUUAGAUAUCAUCCAAUUUAACCUCAAUUUCAUCCAACAAAAAAUCACUUCCAAUUUUCAUCCAAAAUAGUUAACUCCACCUAGGUUCAUCCAAGAGUGGGAAAUUUAACAAUGGUACCUUAAAAUCUUUGAUUAACCACAAGGCAACUUCUAUGAUUCAGAUGUACGCUUGACUCAGCAACGGCAGGGACUGCCGAGUACAGUUCUGUAAUCGAUGAAAGUAGAGAAAAACACCGGACCACAAUCGAAUUGUCAACCCCAACUAUGAAUACGCACCGUGCUAUCCAUGAGCUGGGCGAUAAUCACUACCCUCAGCAACACCGAAAAAAAGAAACCGCACAUCCUUCCAAUCUGUCGAAGUUGCAGCAUUGGCUAGGUUCACGUAAGCUUCAACCCUCGUACACCUUCACAAUAGCACUGUCCUUCUACGUCGUGAAUAUAAGAGACGACGAUGGCAACCGAAUCCAUGUCAACCACGUCGAAGUAGGAGCCAACCCAAUCGACAGCGUUUGACGCCACUAGACCACAUGAACGUCGAAGGGAAGGAACAUGAGGACCGUUGUAAUAGUUCCAACACGCCCAGAUCAAGAAGGGAAAAACAGACCAAGCUAGUAAGUCCACGGCUCCAAGACCGGAACAGUCAGUAAGGAAGUGCUUCCAAAAGGAAUUAGGAAGAUGAACGCGCACGAAGGGGAUUGACUAGAAAAAGAAUAAAAGAAUCAGAGAAUCAAAACCGUUCAGAGCGACGACGCGUUGAAGGCUAGUCGGAACACCAACGCAAAACACUGCAAACCACCCAGAAUCACAAACCGAAUGGAACACAAUCGAGAUCCGCAAUAGCCGAUUACGAGGGAAAAAAGGAAAAAAUAACGUUGUCAAUGCGGACCUAACCCCCAAUCCUUCUACAGUCGGCUUCGUCGCUUAAAAUUAGUACAGAAUUGCAUUGCUCAACGCAACACCCUUAAUUGGUGCAAAUGUUGCCACCCCACUUGACGACUUUCCAGUCGACAAUACCACAAGAAAGGAGCCCCGCCACACCGUUUUCCUGCACGUCAAUCCGAUCCUCGACAGGAGAGCAGCAGCAAGAAGGUAGGAAAAAUCCGGUGCACUGAUCCGCCGCCAAUCACAACUAAGGAAUCACACUAGCCGGAGCAAACACAAACGGAAGCGAGAAGGCCGCAAUAGUAGCCGCACGAA